rnacentral:rRNA from 1 species
GUGUCAGCCGCCGCGGUAAUACAGAGGGUGCGAGCGUUAAUCGGAAUUACUGGGCGUAAAGCGCGCGUAGGUGGCUAUGCAAGUCGGAUGUGAAAUCCCCGGGCUCAACCUGGGAACUGCAUUCGAGACUGCAUUGCUUGAGUAUGGGAGAGGGAAGUGGAAUUUCCGGUGUAGCGGUGAAAUGCGUAGAUAUCGGAAGGAACAUCAGUGGCGAAAGCGACUUCCUGGACCAAUACUGACACUCAAGUGCGAAAGCGUGGGGAGCAAACAGGAUUAGAAACCCGCGUAGUCC